AAAAGUAAUUGUUUAAGAAAUCAUACAGGACAAAAGUAAUGCUAUAAGAAUAGAUUAGUUUAAAACUCUCCAUGUAAAAUUAACACAUUCCUGACUAGCUCUGUUUUGUACAUGUAUGAGCUCUGUGCUAAUGAUGAAAAAGAUCUAAAAACCUAAAGCAGCUAUUCUGGGUCAGACCUUCCUGUCACCCAUGAUGCAAAGCAGGCUCCUAGGAAAGGGCAUAAGGACAGUAUAAGGAUACAACACUUCCCCAGUAGAGUGCCCAAGCCUUCACCAAACUGAGCAAAGCUCACACUGAAAUGGAAUUAACUGCUGGUUUACACACUAAAUGGUAUUCUUGGAGGUUGGUGGAAGCUUUGCCUGAGCGAGCAGGGUAACGACCAGAAAAUUAAAAGUAUUUUACAAGUAGCUUCCCGCUGAAAACCAGGAAGAAUAUGUGUGUUCUGGAGAUGGAGUUAGUGCUCACUCACCGACAGCCCACACAAUGCUUGGGAAACUGACCCCGUCUCCUAGCUGCCAAUUACAACUUUUACACAGAAAUAAAAGAUCCUGGUCCUUAGUACCUCUUUAUUCAUGGGGGUUCUUCCAGCACGUUUUAGUGACGCCUCAAAGUAAAAUCUGCAUUUGACUCCUUGCAAGACAUCGGAGCUGCAGCUCCUGGAACAUUUGGCCGUGUUAUCACCUGCGGUCCUAACUUAGUUCCUCACCUGAGGGCCCGUCUUUGCCACUGACUACUACGGGCUUAGCUGGCAAUUUAGCAGCUUUUAGACGGCACUCCCAAAACACGAAAACAAACGCUCAACAAAUAGUUGAAGUUUAACACCUAU